CGUAACAAUGAAGACAUUCUUAUUUAGUUUUGUAUUAAUUUUGGGGGUUAUUGUUGUAAUCGGAGGAAGAACCAAUUUAAAGAAAAAUACGCUCCAUAAAAAAUCUGGUCUACAUUCAACGCGACAAUAUGGAUCACCAUUAAACGGGAGUUUAUUUUUUGCAUUAUUUUACCCCGAUGUUUAUGAAAUCGUAGAUGAAGUCGACUUGGAAAUUGGAUUAUACCCUAGGAAUAAUUUAACAAGACCUUUCAACAUUUCUUUACAUAAUUAAUAUUUCAAUUUAAAUUAAUAAAAAAAUGCUUUACUUAA